GACGAACGCUGGCGGCGUGCCUAAUACAUGCAAGUAGAACGCUGAAGGAGGAGCUUGCUUCUCUGGCUGAGUUGCGAACGGGUGAGUAACGCGUAGGUAACCUGCCUGGUAGCGGGGGAUAACUAUUGGAAACGAUAGCUAAUACCGCAUAAGAGUAGACGUUGCAUGACAUUUGCUUAAACGGUGCACUUGCCUCACUACCAGAUGGCCCUGUGUUGUAUUAGCUAGUUGGUGGGGUAACGGCUCACCAAAGCGAAGAUACAUAGCCGACCUGAGAGGGGGGUCGGCCACACUGGGACGUGGACACGGCCCAGACUCCUACGGGAGGGAGCAGGAGGGAAUCUUCGGCAAUUGACGGAAGUCUGACCGAGCAACGCCGCGGGAGUGAAGGAGGGUUUCGGAUCGGAAAGCUCUGUUUUAAGAGAAGAACGAGUGUGAGAGUGGAAAGUUCACACUGUGACGGUAUCUUACCAAAAAGGGACGGCUAACUACGUG
rnacentral:rRNA from 1 species